CACAUUUGUCCUGGACACACAUAUACCCUAUGUCAGGAGUCUUGUCGGGAACGAAUGCUGACCAGUGCAGCGACCUCUAUAGGGUGGAACCCAGAAUGCAAAGAAACAUACACACAAAUCAAAACAACAAAAUAAGUGUACUGAUAUUUACAAGAAAGACAGUAAAAUCAAAUACAAGCACAGGUAACUGAAUGUAAGAAAAUGG